CCAGUCGGCUUCUGUGGGCUGGCCGGCUUUCCAGAGUUCUAUAAGCCGGAGUGGAUUCGAGCCAUUCAUAGCUGGCAGAGAGCGGACGGUUGCUUCACGGACGGCUUGGAAAUUGUCGACGACCCACUCACAACUUUCAAGAGGAAACCGGGUCGAACUAAGCGAGCGGAGAUACGACUGGAAGACCGUUGCCGACCUCACAAGACCGUUUUGGGGGCAAUAGCAAUGUCAGCUGGACUGAAGUAUUUGAUAAAUUCGAAUAACCUUACAAUAAGUGCUUAAAUAAUAUGCCAUGACAGGUUCAGGUAAGUCUGACAAGAAAGGAAACUAAAUGUGUGAAAUGCUGUUAACUUAAAAAAAAAACAGCGGCUCAAUGAACAUUCUUAAACGUGUAAAGGUCUUGCAACACACGUUAAGGAAGGAAGUUGCAUAUUUACGAUAAAGAAAGGAAAUUUGGUCCAAAGAUCUUAUCACAAAUUUGGUCAGCUCAGAAACAAAGCACGGUUGAUGGCAAGACCUACCUGCCAAAAGAACCGCCCACCUUACGAAUGCGCGGCACUUGUUAAACUGAAUAAACUACUUAUUUUCCAC